rnacentral:rRNA from 1 species
GGAUUCCCCUAGUAACGGCGAGUGAAGCGGGAAGAGCUCAAAUUUGAAAUCUGGUAGCCUUCGGUUGCCCGAGUUGUAAUCUAGAGAAAUGUUUUCCGUGCCGGCCCAUGUACAAGUCCCUUGGAACAGGGCGUCAUAGAGGGUGAGAAUCCCGUCCUUGACAUGGACCCCCGGUGCUUUGUGAUACAUUUUCAACGAGUCGAGUUGUUUGGGAAUGCAGCUCAAAAUGGGUGGUGAAUUCCAUCUAAAGCUAAAUAUUGGCGAGAGACCGAUAGCGAACAAGUACCGUGAGGGAAAGAUGAAAAGCACUUUGGAAAGAGAGUUAAACAGUACGUGAAAUUGUUGAAAGGGAAACGAUUGAAGUCAGUCAUGCUCUUUGGUAUUUAUAUCAUUGAGUGGGGUCAACAUCAGUUUUGAUCGAUGGAUAAAGGCACUAGGAAGGUAGCACUCUCGGGUGAACUUAUAGCCUAGCGUCAUAUACAUUGAUUGGGACUGAGGAACGCAGCAUGCCUUUAUGGCCGGGAUUCGUCCACGUACAUGCUUAGGAUGUUGACAUAAUGGCUUUAAA